GGGCCCGCACAAGCGGAGGAACAUGUGGUUUAAUUCGAUGAUACGCGAGGAACCUUACCCGGGCUUGAAAUAGAGUGGAAUAAUUUUGAAAGAGAUUAGUCAGAAAUGACCGCUUUGUAGGUGCUGCAUGGUUGUCGUCAGCUCGUGCCGUGAGGUGUCGGCUUAAGUGCCAUAACGAGCGCAACCCACAUUGUCAGUUACUAUCAGGUAGAGCUGAGGACUCUGACGAGACUGCCAGCGUAAGCUGUGAGGAGGGUGUGGAUGACGUCAAAUCAGCACGGCCCUUACGUCCGGGGCGACACACGUGUUACAAUGGGGGGUACAGCGGGUAGCGACUUGGUGACAGGUAGCCAAUCCCGAAAGCCCUUCUCAGUUCGGAUCGAAGUCUGCAACUCGACUUCGUGAAGCUGGAUUCGCUUAGUAAUCGCGCAUCAGCCAUGGCG
rnacentral:rRNA from 1 species